rnacentral:rRNA from 1 species
GGGCUGUCGCUGACCGUUUCGGUCGUGCACGCCCGAGUGCUCUCACACAAUCCAUCUCACCCCUUGUGCACCACCGCGUGGGUCCCUUUCCGGCUCCUCCGGAGGGGGGCUCGCGUUUUCACACAAACUUGAAGUAGUGUAGAAUGUCCUUUUUUGCGAUAACACGCAAUCAAUACAACUUUCAACAACGGAUCUCUUGGCUCUCGCAUCGAUGAAGAACGCAGCGAAAUGCGAUACGUAAUGUGAAUUGCAGAAUUCAGUGAAUCAUCGAAUCUUUGAACGCACCUUGCGCCCCUUGGCAUUCCGAGGGGCACACCCGUUUGAGUGUCGUGAAAUUCUCAAAACCCUUUCCUUUGGUCAUUUUUGACCAUCGAAAGGAUUUUGGACUUGGAGGCCUUUUUGCUGGUUUCACCUUGAAGCGAGCUCCUCCCAAACGUAUUAGUGGGGUCUGCAUUGUCGGUCCUUGGCGUGAUAAGUUGUUUCUACGUCUUGGAUUUUUGGCGCUGUACACCUGCUUCUAACCGUCUCAUUGACAACGAUGGUGUUCCGGUCGCCGCCGAUUUUU